rnacentral:rRNA from 1 species
UACAGAGGUCUCAAGCGUUGUUCGGAUUCAUUGGGCGUAAAGGGUGCGUAGGCGGCGCGGUAAGUCGGGUGUCAAAUCUCGGAGCUUAACUCCGAAACUGCAUUCGAUACUGCCGUGCUUGAGGACUGGAGAGGAGACUGGAAUUUACGGUGUAGCGGUGAAAUGCGUAGAUAUCGUAAGGAAGACCAGUGGCGAAGGCGGGUCUCUGGACAGUUCCUGACGCUGAGGCACGAAGGUCAGGGGAGCAAACGGG